rnacentral:rRNA from 1 species
GAUGAACGCUGGCGGCGUGCCUAAUACAUGCAAGUCGAGCGAACAGACGAGGAGCUUGCUCCUCUGACGUUAGCGGCGGACGGGUGAGUAACACGUGGAUAACCUACCUAUAAGACUGGGAUAACUUCGGGAAACCGGAGCUAAUACCGGAUAAUAUAUUGAACCGCAUGGUUCAAUAGUGAAAGACGGUUUUGCUGUCACUUAUAGAUGGAUCCGCGCCGCAUUAGCUAGUUGGUAAGGUAACGGCUUACCAAGGCAACGAUGCGUAGCCGACCUGAGAGGGUGAUCGGCCACACUGGAGCUGAGACACGGUCCAGACUCCUACGGGAGGCAGCAGUAGGGAAGCUUGCGCAAUGGGCGAAAGCCUGACGGAGCAACGCCGCGUGAGUGAUGAAGGUCUUCGGAUCGUAAAACUCUGUUAUUAGGGAAGAACAAAUGUGUAAGUAACUAUGCACGUCUUGACGGUACCUAAUCAGAAAGCCACGGCUAACUACGU